CGAUUUUUAUGUUCAAUCAUAGAGCAGAACAAAAUGGUUGACUUCACGAGGCCAAUACCUUUCUAGAAGAGAUUAUUGGAUUGGCUACUGCCAUCCUUUCUUUGCCAGCUGGAAUAGUGCUCUGCUGUUCCUUUGCUGCCUGAGGCAAUUCCUCCUGCUUGUGUCUGCUAUUUCAGACUUUUCUUAUGGCUACCUUAAUGUGUUGAGGGACUCUGGAAAGGUACUGUUUUGAUACAGGCUCAAUUGGGUAUCUGCUUUGCUUUAGUGGGCAUGACUUUUUUCUAGUUUCGAUAUCUCUUGAGCUUUCUGGCCACAAAACAAGCUUUUUACUUGCCUCUAUGCUUAAGUAGAGCAAGAAGGAGAGUUCUGAAUUAAGCCAAAGAAAUCUUGAUGAAUGUUGUGCAGUGUACAAUACAAUUUUUUUAACUGAACACACUAAUGCAGGUGAUCCUUUCAGGGUGACCAUGGUAAAUCUGCAGUGUGUUGUAAUUCACUCUGGAUUCAUUUGGCUGCCACUUUGGCGGGCAGGUGUGUUUUAUCAGUCAAGCCAGUUAAGAACAUAUGUUGUACAAGAGUCAAGCCCAUCUCUAAACUGCUUUGGUGCUUGAGUGCUCAGUGAGAACACCAGCAGAUUCUUUGCCUCUGGCCUGUAGCAGCAACCGUUGGUGUAUCCAGUGGUCUCUCCCAACUUCACAAAGCACUAGUGCUUUGUGCUUGUGUGUCCACUAUCUAAAAGCAAGUGUGGCUCAACUCAUUCCUCACCCUGUCAUCCAGGUGGAGGAUUUAAAAUACCUUGUUCUUGGAAAGAAAGAGCCUGUUGCAUAAUAUGAAUUGAUCUCCAAGGCAUCAAUAUUCACCUUGCAGGGGCCAUCCCAAAAUUUGAGCAUACCAAAAACUUUGAGCCAGAAUUAUAACAUGGCUUUAUUUGACAGGUGGAGGGGGCACCUUUGGAUCGUGGAAGUGAGUUUACCUCGAGGCUGAAGUUGAGAACAGACUUUCCCUUUGGGUACCUCUAUGGAGCGUCUGUCUUAUUAAGCCAGUGAGAGAGCCCAAGAGCUAGCUGCCACUGCUGCCGCACAAGUCUUCAAGACCUGUAUCUGUCCAGCAGUAGAAAGUACUGCAUUUCAUGGCAAAGACGGGCUGUACUUAAUGAAGUUCAGGAGAUGGACGGGUUCAGUAGAAGAUAGCCUUCAAAAUUGUAAAACCUGAGUCUCCUUCCUGCCCCUACCCCACCCCCAUGUGAAUAGGAAGCAGAGUUGGAGUGCUGCAUGAAAGUGAGGGGAUGGUGUAAGACUUAGUUUUAAUCCACUGGUGAAGCUGGUAUUAUUGUGGGUAGCAUAGCCCCGUGGAUCUCUGCACCAAACCACUCACUCAGCCAUCAACAUGAGCAUAAACUCAAGACAUUCAGCUUUUUGCCAUACAUUCGUUUUUUAAAUAAACUUUUUCUUGAAACCUG